AGAGUUUGAUCCUGGCUCAGAAUCAACGCUGGCGGCGUGCCUCAGACAUGCAAGUCGAACGAUUAAAGCUCUCUUCGGAGAGUGUAUAGAGUGGCGCACGGGUGAGUAACACGUAAGUAAUCUACCUUCGAGUGGGGAAUAACGUUCGGAAACGAACGCUAAUACCGCAUAAUGCAGCGGCAUCGCAAGAUGACAGUUGUUAAAGGAAUUUAUUUCGCUUGAAGAGGAGCUUGCGGCAGAUUAGCUAGUUGGUAAGGUAACGGCUUACCAAGGCUACGAUCUGUAUCCGGUCUAAGAGGACGGUCGGACACACUGACACUGAAUAACGGGUCAGACUCCUACGGGAGGCAGCAGUCGGGAAUUUUGGGCAAUGGGCGAAAGCCUGACCCAGCAACGCCGCGUGAAGGAUGAAGUAUUUCGGUAUGUAAACUUCGAAAGAAUGGGAAGAAUAAAUGACGGUACCAUUUAUAAGCUCCGGCUAACUACGUGCCAGCAGCCGCGGUAAUACGUAGGGAGCAAGCGUUGUUCGGAUUUACUGGGCGUAAAGGGCGCGUAGGCGGCGCGGUAAGUCACUUGUGAAAUCUCUGAGCUUAACUCAGAACGGCCAAGUGAUACUGCAGUGCUAGAGUGCAGAAGGGGCAAUCGGAAUUCUUGGUGUAGCGGUGAAAUGCGUAGAUAUCAAGAGGAACACCUGAGGUGAAGACGGGUUGCUGGGCUGACACUGACGCUGAGGCGCGAAAGCUAGGGGAGCAAACGGGAUUAGAUACCCUGGUAGUCC
rnacentral:rRNA from 1 species